rnacentral:rRNA from 1 species
GAUGAACGCUGGCGGCGUGCUUAACACAUGCAAGUCGAACGGUGAAGCUCCAGCUUGCUGGAGUGGAUCAGCGGCGAACGGGUGAGUAACACGUGAGCAACCUGCCCCUGACUCUGGGAUAACAGCCGGAAACGGCUGCUAAUACCGGAUAUGCACCAUGAACGCAUGUUCUGUGGUGGGAAAGAUUUUUCGGUUGGGGAUGGGCUCGCGGCCUAUCAGCUUGUUGGUGAGGUAAUGGCUCACCAAGGCGUCGACGGGUAGCCGGCCUGAGAGGGUGACCGGCCACACUGGGACUGAGACACGGCCCAGACUCCUACGGGAGGCAGCAGUGGGGAAUAUUGCACAAUGGGCGAAAGCCUGAUGCAGCAACGCCGCGUGAGGGAUGACGGCCUUCGGGUUGUAAACCUCUUUUAGCAGGGAAGAAGCGAGAGUGACGGUACCUGCAGAAAAAGCGCCGGCUAACUACGUG